ACCCGCUGAACUUAAGCAUAUCAAUAAGCGGAGGAAAAGAAACCAACAGGGAUUGCCCUAGUAACGGCGAGUGAAGCGGCAACAGCUCAAAUUUGAAAUCCGGCGUCUUUGGCGUCCGAGUUGUAAUUUGCAGAGGGCGCUUUGGCAUUGGCAGCGGUCCAAGUUCCUUGGAACAGGACGUCACAGAGGGUGAGAAUCCCGUACGUGGUCGCUAGCCUUUACCGUGUAAAGCCCCUUCGACGAGUCGAGUUGUUUGGGAAUGCAGCUCUAAAUGGGAGGUAAAUUUCUUCUAAAGCUAAAUACUGGCCAGAGACCGAUAGCGCACAAGUAGAGUGAUCGAAAGAUGAAAAGCACUUUGGAAAGAGAGUUAAAAAGCACGUGAAAUUGUUGAAAGGGAAGCGUUUGCGACCAGACCUUUUCCUGGCGGAUCAUCCGGCGUUCUCGCCGGUGCACUUCGCCAGGUCGAGGCCAGCAUCGGUUUUCGCAGGGGGACAAAAUCGGGGGGAACGUAGCUCCCUCGGGAGUGUUAUAGCCCCCCGCAUAAUGCCCUUGCGGGGACCGAGGACCGCGCUUUUUGCAAGGAUGCUGGCGUAAUGGUCGU
rnacentral:rRNA from 1 species